GCGUCGGUUGGUUGUCAAGAUGGCGGUGGCGGGGUAUCUGCUGACACCUUUGCUAUUGCCAGGCAAGGUCGCCGCUGCCGCAGCUGCCAUCACCACUACAGCCACCAGCGCCACAGCGCGGGAGCCAGGGCUGCCGCGGCCAACCCUUCUGUGCCGGUGACGCGAGGCCCGGGAGACGGAGUGUAGGGAGGGGCCGAGGAGGACGACGAACAGGAGGAGGAAGCCAGAGCUGCCAUGAGGGAGGCGCUAGGGGCGAGCGGGGAGGCGGCGCUGAGGUGAAGGAUGCUGGCGGAGAGGCCCGGAGCCCGGAGCGCGGUCACCGCACUGGGCACUGAAUCCUCGGACACCCUCGACAGAGCCCCCCUCAGCCCUCGGGAGAGCGGCGGGCGUCACCGACCUGGCGCUUACCUAGAUAUGAAAAUCCACCUAGAGAAGAAUUUAGAAGAAGAGCGCCAAAUAUUACUGCAGCAACAAAAAAUAUGUCGAAAUCGAGCACGUAAAUAUUUUGUGGAGUCAAAUAAGAGAAAAAAAGCUUUUGAAGAGAAACGAAAAGAACAAGAGGAAAAAGAAUACCAAAUGAGAGAACAAAUACUUCAAGAAAGAAAACAGAAGUUUGAAGAAGUUACUGAAAAAUUCCAGCGUGCCCAUAUUCCUCUUUCACAGCGGAGGAAAACAGUUUUUCAAAAACCAGUUCCUCCAUUAGAAGAGGCCCUCAAACAAAUACAGGAAUCUAAUUUAAAAUCAGAAACAAACCUUCCCUUUUCCUAUAGACCACCAGUAAACUGGAGAACUAUAGAUUCUGCCUUGCCUUCAGCAUUGUCAAAAAGUGAUCACAACCAUCAGAAACAACUCUUAUCCAAAAUCAAUUGUGAUAAAGAAAUGAAGGAAAACAUCAGGGCAAACUUGACUACUAACAAAAAUGUGUUCCAGCUUAAACUUGAGGAAACUCAGAAACUCCUAGAAGAUCAGCAUCUAAGCACUUUGCAAAAAUUUUGGGAUGAAGUUAAUCAGAUAACCAAUUCUGAAACCCUCUCAAGUAUAGAUAGUCUUGAAGCUGGAGAGCGUGAAGAAAUAUAUUUAACACUUAUUAAGGAGCCUUCUACAUCAAUCCAGCAGAAUACCAUUUCCCUCAAAUCAGCAAAUUUGCAAUCAACUAAUCUGAGCUGCCUUGAUGAAGAUAAACUGUCCUUCUCUAAAACUCAACGUAUAAAUAACUGGCUUACCAAUUUAGAUGCUCCAAAUACCCAGACUGUCACACCUUCCUCAGAUGUUUUGAGUAAAUCCAAUGUUCCAUCUGCAUGGGACUGUUUUAAUUGCAAAGAACAAAAUCUAUCUACUUUGAGUAGAACUGUAGAAAGAGCCACAAAUACUGCUGAUAAUUCAGCAGCUUUUGUGUAUAGUCCACCCAUAUUUGUACUAGAUAAAAAAAGUGAAAAGACCUCUGAAACUAGCACUAUGAGGCCAAUUGACUCCACUUCUGGAGCAUUCAAAAGAGAGAGGCCAUUAGUUACUGAGAACCCAGUAUUUAAAUUCAGCAAAGCCUGGAGCACUUCAGAUCCUCUAAACCAGGAAGUGGCUACAUUUUCGGACCAAGAGAAAUAUUCUGAAUUAACUCAAGAAAAUAGAACCACUUCAGUUCCUACUUUGUGCGUGCCAGCAGCAACACCUUUAGUUUUGCCAUCUAAUACACAAUCAGCUAGACCUUUAGCAAAGAAUAGUAUAUACAUAAAAGCAAUCAACCCAGUGCAGUGUUCUGAUAAGUUAGAUGAAUUGAAAGAUGCUAAAUAUGAAAAGAUAAAAUAUUUUAAUUGUAAUAAGGAAGAGUUGCCUUUAUUUUCAGACAGUUUUCAAGCUGCCUAUAUACCUCACAAUCCUGAUUCAAAAGAUGAAAAACAAAAAUUAGCUGAAACAUCAUCUUUGUCUAAUGUAAUUCCUAAUUAUGACUUAGUUGGCCAGCACAAGAAAAUGAAAUACAACAUUCAUGAGAGAAAUGGUGUGAGAUUUCUUAAAAGUAUUUUAAAGAAAGACUCUAAAUAUGAGCAUGAUUAUCUUAAGGCACUUAUUAUAAAUCAAGGCUUAAAGUUUGGAAAUCAAAAAGCAGCAGCUAUCAGAGAUAGUAUUGAGUUAACAAAGGAAAAAGAAAAAGGUGCGGAAAUCACAAAGACUAUUAAAAAACUGAGGUGGUUUGAUGAGACUGGCAAUAUAGAAAACAGUGCUGAAGACAAUCAUUCACUGAAGAAUAAAACAGGAGUAACUCAACAAUGGUCUCAACAAUUCCACAUUAAAAGUGGUGCUGGCAGCAACAUAAUUAAUGUUCCUGUUAGUGCUGGAAAUUCUGCUGAUAGAAAGAAGUCUGAGGAUGAUUAUUUCUCAGAAAAUGUCACUGUUUUAGGAGGAUCUGAAACAGACCAUGUCUCUUUGAACUGUUUUAUACCUUCAGGUUGUAACUUUGCUAAACAAGCCUGGCCAGCCUCAAAUAAAGAAGAAAGUAAAAUCCCUGUCCAUGAUGGUAAUUCUAAAACCCAGAAAGGUAAUUCACAAAGAGGUGGAGCAAAAGUAAUUAGAAGAAAAGGAUCUGCAAAAGUCCAAUCAGGCUAUAUAUAUACAAACAGAAGAGGCACUGUCAUUCAUCCACAAUCUGCAAGCAAAGUCAACACAUUUAUACAAGCUCAGGGUAAACUAAUUAUGCCUCAUCCUCCUCCUAAAUCUACAUCGAAUAUUAGAAGUGGUAAAAAGAUACAAGUGUCUCAGUGUCAAUCAGUAAUACCUGAAAAUUUUCAAAACAUUAUUACACAUAACUAUUUUAAUUCAAAACAUGUGCUUCCAACAGAACACAAUUUGAAUCAGUGGAAUCAAGAAAGUAGUACUCCAUUCUCAAAUGCUUGUUCUGACCUAGUCACUGUGAUACCAUCUUUACCAUCUUAUUAUUCUUCUGAGUGCCAAACUUUAGCAAAAAUAAAUGAUUCAAAUGGCACUCAAAUGGUUGCCCAGCAAAAUGGGACAUUAUAUUGUACACAAAGAACUCCUGUUUAUGAAGAAAGUUAUCAGUCUGCGACUCUUAGAACUACUGAAGAAGAAUCAGUUCCCUUGAGGAAAAGAGGGCAUAAUAUCCUGCAUCAAAAUGAGAGGGCUACUGAUUCUACUGUUAUGAGAAGAAAACGAAUUGUCGAAAAUAAACGGCAAAGUCUUUUGGAGAAGAAAAGCCAAAACCCUGGAUCUGUAGGACAGAAGUACGAUAAGCAAAUGAAUAAUUUUAGACAAGGUAUACAGCUAAGUUCAAGUGAGCCAAAACAAACUACAAGGGGUACUUCUAAUAUUGAAGAAGUUUCAGAUAGUACCUCUGAGUUUUUGAUGGCUGAAAACCUAGUGAAUGCAUCAGUGCCUGAGGAUGAAAUUCUAACUAUCAUGAAUAGCAAGCAGCUACAGAAGCCAAAUAUGGAUUUAAAUAAGACACAGCAACUCAACAUCUGCACACUAUCAGCUGAAGAACAGAAGAUUCUACAGUCCCUUAAUCAUCUCAAUGAAAGGUUACACUAUAUACAAGAAAACAUUUGCAAAAAUCCGUCCAUCAAAAAUACUUUACAAAUAAUACCACUUCUGAACACCCAGCCAAGGACCAGUCUAUAUCCUGAUGUUGGAUCCACAUUCCUAAGAAAAUAUUGAUGAAGUAUAACAGAAUGUCUACUUGAGAAACCAGUUCCCUCAAUCCAUCUCUUUUCCUUGGUGUUUUACUGUAAGCAGCAAGAAGGAACCAGGCUGUACCUUCAACACUUUGCUUGGAAAUAUCCUCAGCUAAAUAAAUGUCCAAUUUCAUUGUUUAUAAGUUCCAGUUAUUAACAUGUUUCUCAUUUCCUUCUGAGCUUCGGCAGCAGCACCUUUUACAUCCAUAUUUCUAACAACAGUCUAUUCGUGAUGACUUAAGUAGUCUCCAAAAUGAUAUAUGGUUUCUCUACCUUGCUCUACACUACUUCUGAGUUCUCACUAGCGGAGUUAUUAACAUCCAUAUUUCUACUAAAAGUUUGUUGGAGACAAUCUAGAUUUUUCCUACCAUGCUCCUCAAAAUUCUUUCAGCCUCUGCCCACUGCCUAAUUCCAAAGCCGCAUUCACACAUUUAGGUAUUUAUUACAGGAGCACCCUAUUUCAAGUACAACAUCUAUAUAAAUUUCCUUUUGCUUUAUAAAAAUAACCACAAACUUAAUUGCUUUUAAAAAUCACAAAUUUAUUGUCUUAAAAUUCUAGAUUUUAGAAGUCUGACACUGGUCUCACUGGACUAAAAUCAAGGUGUCGGUGAGUCUAUGAUCCUUUCUGAAAGUUCUAGGGAGGGAAGGAUCUGUUUCCUUGCCUCUCCUAGCUUUUAGAGGCCACCCACAUUUCUUGGUUCAAGGCUAAUUUCCUUUACCUUUAAAACCACAAUUGUGGGUGAAAUCCUCACAACACAUUUCUUUGAUAUCCUCUUCUGCUUCUCUUCCACUUUUGAGGACCCUUAUGAUUACAUUAAUUCCCCCUGGAUAAUCCUGGACAUUUGUUUUAAGAUCAGCUGAUUAGAAAACUUGAUUCAAUUGGCAACCUUAAUUCCCCUUUGCCAUGUAACUGAACAUAUCCACAGGUUCUGAGAUUAGGAAAUGGACAUCCUGGUGGCGGGGAAAUGUGCGGGCAUUAUUCUACCUACCAUAGGGAUGUAGAGACAAGGGAAGACCUGGAGAACAGAGACUGCUGGUUGUCCUAUAAUAUUCAUUCUCCUCCUUUUUCCUUAGUAACAAAAUCUGUUUUAGAGGUACCUAGCCACCAAAAUAAAAGCAAUGUUACCCAGCCACUCUUUCAGCUAAAAAUAGCUAUAUGACUGAGUUUGGAAUUGUGCCCUUAAAGAGAAGGAGAAAGCCCUUCUUUUCCUUUUUUACCUUCUCCUCCUCCGAGCUGGCUGGAGCGCAGACUUAUGGUGUAUCACUGUACCGUGUAGUCACAGCUCGUAGCUGGGACUGGUGGAGAAGAAAGCCAGCUGAAACCUGAGCCCCCGAUGACAUUAUAGAGCAGAAUCACCACAUCGGCUAGAAGUUUUAUGUGAACAAAAGAUAAACUACCUUGUUUAAGCCACUUUUAUUUUUAAUUUCUGUUGAAACAAUCUAACUUAAAUACUGGCUAAUAUAUUUUUUAAGGUAAGAGAUAUUAUAAUGUUGUAACCAUUCUUCAGAAGCAGGUGGACCCCUACCCAAAAUUUGGUUCCAAUGUGGAGACUGAUGAUACCACACACAAGAAGGUAUGAAAAUUUUAUUACUAACGUAACAUAAUUGGAGUUUCUGGGCACAGCCGGUCAGGCCUCCCAAGCAGGGCUGAAAUGGCUUGCGAGACCUGGAAAAAGAAAGGAAACUAGCCCGGGGUUUUUAUUAUGGUUGGGAGGCGGAGGCAGGUUGUGAGAUUCUUUGUGCAAAUUGGGGCUUGAAUCUCCUGAUUUGAAUCUCCUACUAGAGACAAUGAAAAAGCACCUGGGCUUUCUUAUUUGCAGGCCAGAUAUGGAGGAAAAGAGAGAGGGGUGACGUUAAAAGCUGUCAGCAGUCAAACAUCAGAAAAAUGGAGUCAUAUCCUUUAUUACACAUAGCACAAAUGCAUGCAGUUAAGAAUGAUUCAGGAGCAAGAACCAUGUCUACAAGAGCAAAGUCCUUGUGCAGUUUCACCUUUCCCAGAAAGGGAGAAUGCUAGAAUAAAAUUUCUGUGGUGCUGGAUUAAAGUUGGAGGAAUUAAUAAUUUAGACAGUCUGUUUCAAAGCUGCAUUCCAAGCCCAAUAUCAGUGAUACCAAAAAGAAAUUUCACUCAUGCCCCAAGGUGCUUGAUAACAAGGCUACUUUCCCUACUGUACCUGCAGCAAAGUCUGGUUUUAUUGCUUUUGGCCAAAGCUGUUACAGAGCUUACACAGCAAAAGUCUGCUGCAACUUCAUCUUCCAGGUCUAUGAUCCAUUAAAGGCCUUUAACCAGAGGAGUGACAAGAUCCUUUAACAAGACCAUGUAGCUACUAUCAGGAGAAUGGAUCAUAAUGAAGCAAAGAGGAAGAAGACAGAUCAGUUAGAAGACUAUAGUUCUGGUGAGAUAGGUUGGAAACUUGGACUGGUAUUAAGCUGAGGAAUGAUGAGAUCUCCGUGUAGUUUUAAUUGGCAUUUCCCUAAUGACUAAUGAUGGAGAGCAUUAUGCAUGUGCUUAGUUGCCAUCCAUGUAUCAUCUUUGGUGAAGUGUCUAUUCAAACCCUACCCCCCCCUUUUUUUUGACAUUUAGAUCUAAUACCCACUGGACAAUUUUAAGCAAAGGAGUGGCAAGAUCCCAUUGUGGUUUUGUUGUUUUAAUUGGGAUUUCCUGAAUGUCUAAUGAUGUUGAGCUCUUUAAUGUGCUUACUUUCCAUCAACUUUACAAGUGUCUAUUCAAAUCAUGUGUCUAUUUUUUUUUUUUUUGCACUGAGUUCUGUGAUUCAUUGGAGGGUUUUAAGCAGAAGAGUGGCAAGAUCUUUUAACAAGAUUGUGCAGCUGCUAUGAGAAGAAUGGAUAAUAAUGAAGCAAAAGUGGAAUCAGAGAGAUCAAUUAGGAGAUUAUUUGUAGUCCAAGUGAGAGACAAUGGGGGCUUGUACUGCAGUUUGAGUGGGAGAUAUGUAAAGCGAUUCACAGGUUUGGAAUAUGUUCUAGAAGUACAGUUGAUAGAAGCUCUGGUGGAUUAGCUGUAGAGGAUAGAGAAUGAUGGGAAUCUAGGGUCAUUCUUGUAUUUUGGGAUCGAACUGUAAAGAAGAUUGGGGAGGCUGUUGACUAGGAUAGAAAAGACUAGAAAGUGGUGGAAAAAGCAGGAGUGGGAGGUGGUCUGUUUUGGCCGUGUGAUAGCCAGUGCUGGUUAGAUGCCCAUCAAGGUGUUAUGGAGGCAUUUGGAGAUACAAGUCUGGAGAUUCUGAGAAAGGUCAAAGCCAGGGAUUGAAAAGAUUGGUAUGUAGAUGGUCUUUAUAUUCUUCUAGUAAUUUUAUGGUUUCAUUAUUUAGAUAUAUGUCUUUCAUCCACUGAAAACUGUAAUACAGUGUGUAGUAUAGAUUUGAUUUUUCCCACAUGGGCAGCCACUUGCCUCAGCGCAGUUCUGAUCUGUAAUUCUCUCAAUACUAUCAAUAUUCUCCCUCCCCCCCAUCCCUCACCUCCAGAAUAACAUCAAGAUUUCCUGUCUGGAUAUUCUUUCCUUCUCUAUUUCAUUCACUUUAUGGUUUUUUCAAAUUGUACUCUGAUGAACCUUCGGGAGUAAAUAAAGCCCUCUCAGUGCCAUCCUGGCAUGAGAUAAGGGAGCAAACAGGCAAGGACUCUAUUACUCACCCUGACUUCAAACACUAGAACUCUACUUUCACCCAAUUUACAUGUUGAUGCUUCCAAACAAGAAUUUUUAUUGAAGAGAUUCAGUUGC